rnacentral:rRNA from 1 species
AGCGAACGCUGGCGGCAGGCCUAACACAUGCAAGUCGAGCGGCCCUUCGGGGCAGCGGCGGACGGGUGAGUAACGCGUGGGAACGUGCCCUUUGGUACGGAACAACUGAGGGAAACUUCAGCUAAUACCGUAUGUGCCCUACGGGGGAAAGAUUUAUCGCCAUUGGAGCGGCCCGCGUUAGAUUAGCUAGUUGGUAGGGUAAUGGCCUACCAGGGCGACGAUCUAUAGCUGGUCUGAGAGGAUGAUCAGCCACACUGGGACUGAGACACGGCCCAGACUCCUACGGGAGGCAGCAGUGGGGAAUCUUGCGCAAUGGGCGAAAGCCUGACGCAGCCAUGCCGCGUGAAUGAUGAAGGUCUUAGGAUUGUAAAAUUCUUUCGCCGGGGACGAUAAUGACGGUACCCGGAGAAGAAGCCCCGGCUAACUUCGUGCCAGCCGCCGCCGUAAAAC